UACGAAGGGGGCUAGCGUUGCUCGGAAUCACUGGGCGUAAAGCGCACGUGGGCGGAUCUUUAAGUCAGGGGUGAAAUCCUGGAGCUCAACUCCAGAACUGCCUUUGAUACUGAGGAUCUUGAGUCCGGGAGAGGUGAGUGGAACUGCGAGUGUAGAGGUGAAAUUCGUAGAUAUUCGCAAGAACACCAGUGGCGAAGGCGGCUCACUGGCCCGGUACUGACGCUGAGGUGCGAAAGCGUGGGGAGCAAACAGGAU
rnacentral:rRNA from 1 species